rnacentral:tRNA from 1 species
UGGCUUACUGGGCUAAGUGCUUGGCUGCUAACCAAAAGGUAGGUGGUUCAAACCCACU